UACGGAGGGGGCUAGCGUUGUUCGGAAUUACUGGGCGUAAAGCGCACGUAGGCGGCUUUGUAAGUUAGAGGUGAAAGCCCGGAGCUCAACUCCGGAACUGCCUUUAAGACUGCAUCGCUUGAAUCCAGGAGAGGUGAGUGGAAUUCCGAGUGUAGAGGUGAAAUUCGUAGAUAUUCGGAAGAACACCAGUGGCGAAGGCGGCUCACUGGACUGGUAUUGACGCUGAGGUGCGAAAGCGUGGGGAGCAAACAGG
rnacentral:rRNA from 1 species